rnacentral:rRNA from 1 species
UACGAAGGGGGCUAGCGUUGCUCGGAAUCACUGGGCGUAAAGGGCGCGUAGGCGGGUCUUUAAGUCAGGGGUGAAAUCCUGGAGCUCAACUCCAGAACUGCCUUUGAUACUGAAGAUCUUGAGUUCGGGAGAGGUGAGUGGAACUGCGAGUGUAGAGGUGAAAUUCGUAGAUAUUCGGAAGAACACCAGUGGCGAAGGCGGCUCACUGGCCCGAUACUGACGCUGAGGCACGAAAGCGUGGGGAGCAAACAGG